UUCACUGUUGUUCUCCCUAGUUUCAUUCUCCCUCGGAUUUUGUGGUUAUGUAUGACUUUGUGGUGAUGUAUUUCUUUUAAGAGGAGAAAAGGGAUUCAGUCCAAAACCACUUAAUAAAAAUCAUUCUUAGUAACUAAGUUAGGCUAGGAUUACCAAACACUGGAUUAAGAAGACCCUGUAACUCCGGUAGGAAUUAACAGUCCUGCCAUUCCAGAGCCAGAGGGAAGAACAAACUGUUGCUCACAACAACAAAGGCAAUAAGUCUGGCAGGACUGAGAACUAGGAAUCUGGAUGAUCUCUGAAUCUAAAUAACAAGGAAAGAAGGGUUACCUCUGGACCACAGCAGCCACAUCCACAAAGGUGUAAACCCAAAGGGCAUAUCACAGGAUUUGUUUUUCCCAAUGAAAUGAUGUCUGGAAGGCUUGAACUGAAAUGCUCUUUCAUGAUGGCUGCUGAAGAAAGGCAAGCAAAGCCAUGCUCUUCCAGGGGCUGGAAAGCCAAGCCCUGUCAGGGAGACCCUGCAGUAGUGCUCUGUGGCUACACCAGAAGAAAGAUGUGCAGGGAGCUCUUCCUGUCCCAUGGCAAGGGGAGGACAACUUCUCCUUCCAGUAGCAGAGAGAUGGAACUCUUCUCAUCUCCUCUUGUUGGGGGAAUGGCUCAAAGUUGAGCACAACCAUGCGUCAGAAACCUGGCUUGGGGGAUGCCUGUCUGGACAGACAGAAAAUUGCUGUACAGUGUAGUGAGUAUUGUGAUAAGGAUGGUGGAGGGUGUUUAAUGAGUCCAUAGAAAACAGUGCCCAGCUCUGUCUUAGAGAAGAUUUCCCAAAGGAGAUGAAAAAUAAAUAGAGACAUAAAGAAUGAGGAGUUAGAACAAUUAGAGGAAGGAAAUUUCCAGGAAGAGAUGACACUAUGAAAAUCAGUCAUGCAGCAGUGAGAAAACCAGACAAAUUUUCUACCCAUAUGGAUAGUAGCUAUGAGCACAUAGGAGAGAUAAAUAAUACAUAAAUAUUUGAUAAGUGCUGUGGUUACAAAAUAAAGCAGAGUAGAGGAAGGAGAAAAUGGAGACAGAUAUCUCAGAUAAAAUCAUCAUGUGAGGCAACUCUGAGAAAGUGACAUCUGAAAAACACACUUUAAACAAGUGAAGGGGUAACAUAUGAAUUGGCCUGGUAACUUAUGAAAAUGAAAUGCAUGGCACUUCCACAUUAAAAAAAAAAUCUGUAUGAAGAAUAUUCCAGGAUGAGGGAACAGAGAGUACCGUUGUGAAAUAGUAGCACGCUUGGUGUUUUUAAAAAAAUUAGCAAGCAGACCAUUGGGUUGAUAUGGAGAUGAGAAAAGUAGCCUGGACAUAGAUAGUUAGGGUUCCAUAGGUACUGGUACGAGAUACCUUUGUUUGUUGUGUGAAAAAAAUAAAGAAUGUGAGG